rnacentral:rRNA from 1 species
GAGUUUGAUCCUGGCUCAGGAUGAACGCUGGCGGCGUGCCUAAUACAUGCAAGUAGAACGCUGAAGCUUGGUGCUUGCACCGAGCGGAUGAGUUGCGAACGGGUGAGUAACGCGUAGGUAACCCGCCUGGGUAGCGGGGGAUAACUAUUGGAACGAUAGCUAAUACCGCAUAACAGUAGAUAUUGCAUGAUAUCUGCUUGAAAGGUGCAAUUGCAUCACUACCAGAUGGACCUGCGUUGUAUUAGCUAGUCGGUGAGGUAACGGCUCACCAAGGCGACGAUACAUAGCCGACCUGAGAGGGUGAUCGGCCACACUGGGACUGAGACACGGCCCAGACUCCUACGGGAGGCAGCAGUAGGGAAUCUUCGGCAAUGGGGGGAACCCGUGACCGAGCAACGCCGCGUGAGUGAAGAAGGUUUUCGGAUCGUAAAGCUCUGUUAUAAGAGAAGAACGAGUGUGAGAGUGGAAAGUUCACACUGUGACGGUAUCUUACCAGAAAGGGACGG